rnacentral:ncRNA from 2 species
AGGUGAGGUAGAGGCGCGGGUUGCCAAGAGUAAGGCCGGUGAUCAAAGCAGGGGUAGCUGCCGGUACGAAAGGGGGACCUGCCGAAGUCCAUGGUUACACUCCCACUGGCCAUGGGCUGGGCCUGCAUCGAAUAGGUGCAGGACUGUCACCGGGGGAAGAUCCCGCCUCCUGGUGGAGCACUAUCUCACAA